UGUACGUUUUCCUGAAAGAAUUAGGUAUUUAGAACCUUAUGGAGUGAUAGUUUAUGGGCCACCUCCUGAAUUCACUGGAAGUGUGCUUUCUCCUAAGGUAAUUUAUUAUAUUUCGCCUCGUGAACAGAUAGCAUAUAGGCCACCUGGAAUGAUAGGAAGUGCGCCUCUGCCUGAAGGAACUAGUUAUGGAGCGCCUUAUCGCCUGAUCGUUUUUGGGCCACCUCCAGGAUUGAAGAGAAGUGUGCGCUUUCCUAAUAUACUGUAUUAUGUUUCGCUUAAUGGACUGUUUGCUUACGAGCCACCCGCUGGAAUGAUCGGAAGUACACCUUGUCAAGUAAUCGGUCAUGGGCUGUCAUCCAAAAUGGCUGUGGCUGAGGAAGAAUCGGAGCAAGAGCUUCCUACUGAUUCGGAACGUGAAAUUGAAGGAGCUGAUGAAAGUAGUGUUCAAAUGACACAAAUGUCACCAAUAUCUCAGAAUAAUUUAGAAAGAGAAAUUUUAAGCGAAUCAGAAGGCGGAGGCAAAUGUGUCCACAGAAACAAAUUUUGAAAUUUCUGAUGAAUUUUCUGUUGACAGUGCUGAACAAAUAAGAAGACAAAAUUUUAAAUUUAGGAAAAACAACAUGCAAAAGUUAAACAAUUUAGUUAAAUCAGAAGAAAGCGUGGAGAAAAAUAAGAAUAUUUUGCCAGAAAAAGGAUUCACGCAAAAAUGUAAAAAAGAGAAUUCAGAUGAUGAAUCCAACUCUUACAAUCAAUUAAAUAAUUGUAUUUCAUCCGAUUCUAUUAAACCAGAUGUCGAAAUCAUGACCAAUAAUGA